rnacentral:tRNA from 1 species
GAUAAGAUGGCUGAAUGUUAAGUGGUGGAUUGUAGUCCCAAUAAUAUAGGUUAAAAUCCUUUUUUUAUCA